rnacentral:rRNA from 1 species
GAUGAACGCUAGCGGCAGGCUUAAUACAUGCAAGUCGUGGGGCAGCACAAAUAGCAAUAUUGGGUGGCGACCGGCAAACGGGUGCGUAACACGUACGCAACCUUCCCGUUACUGGGGAAUAGCCCAGGGAAACUUGGAUUAAUACCCCAUAUUAUAUAGAUCAGGCAUCUGGUUUAUAUCAAAGCUUCGGCGGUAACGGAUGGGCGUGCGGUUGAUUAGGUAGUUGGCGGGGUAACGGCCCACCAAGCCUACGAUCAAUAGCUGAUGUGAGAGCAUGAUCAGCCACACGGGCACUGAGACACGGGCACGACUCCUACGGGAGGCAGCAGUAAGGAAUAUUGGGCAAUGGACGCAAGUCUGACCCAGCCAUGCCGCGUGAAGGAUGAAGGUCCUCUGGAUUGUAAACUUCUUUUAUCUGGGGCGAAAAUCGGGUAUUCUUAUCCGCUUGACAGUACCAGAGGAAUAAGCACCGGCUAACUCCGUGCCAGCCGCCGCAGUAAAAC